rnacentral:rRNA from 1 species
UACGUAGGGUGCAAGCGUUGUCCGGAAUUAUUGGGCGUAAAGAGCUCGUAGGCGGCUUGUCGCGUCGGCUGUGAAAACCUGGGGCUCAACUCCGGGCCUGCAGCCGAUACGGGCAAGCUAGAAUUCGGUAGGGGAGACUGGAAUUCCUGGUGUAGCGGUGAAAUGCGUAGAGAUCGGAAAGAACACCAACGGCGAAAGCACUCUGCUGGGCCGACACUGACACUGAGAGACGAAAGCUAGGGGAGCGAAUGGG